AACGAACGCUGGCGGCAGGCCUAACACAUGCAAGUCGAGCGCCCCGCCAGGGGAGCGGCGGCCGGGUGAGUAACGCGUGGGAACGUACCCUUUGCUACGGAAUAGCCUCGGGAAACUGGGAGUAAUACCGUAUGUGUCCUUCGGGAGAAAGAUUUAUCGGCAAGGGAUCGGCCCGCGUUGGAUUAGGUAGUUGGUGGGGUAAUGGCCUACCAAGCCGACGAUCCAUAGCUGGUUUGAGAGGAUGAUCAGCCACACUGGGACUGAGACACGGCCCAGACUCCUACGGGAGGCAGCAGUGGGGAAUCGUAGACAAUGGGCGCAAGCCUGAUCUAGCCAUGACGCGUGAGCGAUGAAGGCCUUAGGGUUGUAAAGCUCUUUCAGGGGGGAAGAUAAUGACUGUACCCCCAGAAGAAGCCCCGGCUAACUCCGUG
rnacentral:rRNA from 1 species